GAUGAAGAACGCAGCAAAAUGCGAUAAGUAAUGUGAAUUGCAGAAUUCAGUGAAUCAUCGAAUCUUUGAACGCACAUUGCGCCCGCCAGUAUUCUGGCGGGCAUGCCUGUUCGAGCGUCAUUUCAACCCUCAAGCCCAGCUUGGUGUUGGGAUCUGUCCUUACCGACAGUCCCCAAAUUGAUUGGCGGUCACGUCGAGCUUCCAUAGCGUAGUAAUUUACACAUCGUUACUGGUAAUCGUCGCGGCCACGCCGUUAAACCCCAACUUCUGAAUGUUGACCUAGGAUCAGGUAGGAAUACCCGCUGAACUUAAGCAUAUCAAUAAGCGGAGGA
rnacentral:misc_RNA from 1 species